GAUGAAGAACGUAGCGAAAUGCGAUAAGUAAUGUGAAUUGCAGAAUUCAGUGAAUCAUCGAAUCUUUGAACGCACAUUGCGCCCGCCAGUAUUCUGGCGGGCAUGCCUGUUCGAGCGUCAUUACAACCCUCAGGCCCCCGGGCCUGGCGUUGGGGAUCGGCGGAGCCCCCCGUGGGCACACGCCGUCCCCCAAAUACAGUGGCGGUCCCGCCGCAGCUUCCAUCGCGUAGUAGCUAACACCUCGCGACUGGAGAGCGGCGCGGCCACGCCGUAAAACACCCAACUCUUCUGAAGUUGACCUCGAAUCAGGUAGGAAUACCCGCUGAACUUAAGCAUAUCAAUAAGCGGAUGA
rnacentral:misc_RNA from 1 species